UGGGGAAUCUUGCGCAAUGGGCGAAAGCCUGACGCAGCAAUGCCGCGUGAGGGAAGACGGCCUUAGGGUUGUAAACCUCUUUCAGCAGGGACGAAAACAGACGGUACCUGCAGAAGAAGCCCCGGCUAACUACGUGCCAGCAGCCGCGGUAAUACGUAGGGGGCAAGCGUUGUCCGGAAUCAUUGGGCGUAAAGAGCGUGUAGGUGGACUGGAAGGUCUGGUGUGAAAGCCCGGGGCUCAACCCCGGAGGGUCACUGGAAACCAACAGUCUUGAGUCCGGAAGAGGAGAGUGGAAUUCCUGGUGUAGCGGUGGAAUGCGCAGAUAUCAGGAGGAACACCGAUGGCGAAGGCAGCUCUCUGGUACGUGACUGACACUGAGACGCGAAAGCGUGGGGAGCGAACAGG
rnacentral:rRNA from 1 species